GACGAACGCUGGCGGCGUGCUUAACACAUGCAAGUCGAACGGAAAGGCCCUGCUUUUGUGGGGUGCUCGAGUGGCGAACGGGUGAGUAACACGCGAGUAACCUGCCCUUGACUUUGGGAUAACUUCAGGAAACUGGGGCGAAUACCGGAUAGGAGCUCCUGCUGCAUGGUGGGGGUUGGAAAGUUUCGGCGGUUGGGGGUGGUCUCGCGGCUUAUCCGCUUGUUGGUGGGGUAGUGGCUUACCAAGGCUUUGACGGGUAGCCGGCCCGAGAGGGUGACCGGCCUCAUUGGGCCUGAGAUACGGACCAGAAUCCUACCGGCGGCAGCGGUCGGGAACAUUGCACAAUGGGCCGACGCCUGAUGCGACAACCCCGCGUGCGGGAUGACGGCCUUCGGGUUGUAAACCGAUUUCGCCUGUGACAAAGCGUGAGUGACGGUAAUGGGUAAAAAAGCACCGGCUAACUACGUG
rnacentral:rRNA from 1 species